GAUGAACGCUGGCGGCGUGCCUAAUACAUGCAAGUCGAGCGAACAGACGAGGAGCUUGCUCCUCUGACGUUAGCGGCGGACGGGUGAGUAACACGUGGAUAACCUACCUAUAAGACUGGGAUAACUUCGGGAAACCGGAGCUAAUACCGGAUAAUAUAUUGAACCGCAUGGUUCAAUAGUGAAAGACGGUUUUGCUGUCACUUAUAGAUGGAUCCGCGCCGCAUUAGCUAGUUGGUAAGGUAACGGCUUACCAAGGCAACGAUGCGUAGCCGACCUGAGAGGGUGAUCGGCCACACUGGAACUGAGACACGGUCCAGACUCCGACGGGAGGCAGCAGUAGGGAAUCUUCCGCAAUGGGCGAAAGCUUGACGGAGCAACGCCGCGUGAGUGAUGAAGGUCUUCGGAUCGUAUAACUCUGUUAUUAGGGAAGAACAAAUGUGUAAGUAACGAUGCACGUCUUGACGGUACCUAAUCAGAAAGCCACGGCUAACUACGUG
rnacentral:rRNA from 1 species